AGUCAACUGCAUAGGUAGCCCACUCCCUAUCCAAGCGACGCCUAACACGACUAAGCCCCUCACCAGAUAAUCGAGUUUCGCAUAGAAAACAGAUCUCCGGGCAAUGGAGCUGUACUAAUCUCUUAAAGGAGGACAUGAAGGACGGCUUGGCCGCCCCCCUACAAUUCCAAGCCAAGAUCAUCAUGGAUCACAGUCCACAUAGUCAGCCUCAGAC
rnacentral:lncRNA from 1 species